UUGGGCAGCCUGUCUAAAAGUGUCUCUGUUGUGUGCUUGUUUCUUUGUUUCUGUCUCUUGCAUACUGUAGCCAACAAUCAGUCAUCUCCUCUUCUUGUUUGACUGAAUUGGAUGUGUUGUUGUCCCAGUUCUUUCAAACACGAACCAGCACUGCCCCCUAGCUGUUCAUUCGCGGAAUAAUCGAAGUGCACGCACAUAGUAGUCCGUGAUCGCGCACCACGCUGUCCGGAAAAAAAAAGGUGCUGAAAUGUCGUCACUUCCGGGAGGCAUUCCUAGCCUGGGAAAAAAAAAGCGGGGCUGGGAGCUCUCUGUACAAACAACACGCCGGAGAGUGAUCAGCCAUGUCAUAAGACAACACUGAAAUCAGACUGAAUCUGUCAUCGGUUCAUAAAUUCAAUCUUUGUCAUUUUUUUCCCCCAGGACUGACCGACACGUAUAUCGACGAAGCCGUGCAUGAACUGGAAAGCACUGACGUUCAGCCGAAUAGCUCAUUCAAGACAAAAGCUCCAGCAGGACAGAUAGUAUGCUGAGUAAAGCGGCCACUAUGGAGAUCCCUAUCAACCGUAACGGAGACACGAGGACGCUGGCGGAGGAUGACAGCCUUGAACAAGUUGCUAAGCUACAGUGGAGCUUAGAUGAGAAGGUAGGGAGUUUCACAAUCACCAGGGUGAGAAGGACAACACUGUGUGUGUGUGUGUGUGUACUAUAGAUUCAAGCAAUGCCACCUAAUGUUUUGUCACGUUGUCUGACUUGCUGAAUGAAAUGGGUCUGGUAGUCAUUGCGUAACUUAACAUGGCUGCUAGGUUGCACAUCACGUGUAUUUAAAAAAAAUAUAUAUAUAUAUAUUUGUUUUUAAGUUGAUGACAAAGCAUUAGGCAGGUUGACUGAAUCUGUGUGUUGUGUUUCUGACCUCCCUCCUCCUCUACGCUAACUCUGGUCGAAGGUCUGUCAAAUCCAAUCGAAAUGAGGACGUGUCUCAGGGCUCUACAGUGCCCCCAUUUUUACUUGCAAUAUAAAACCUAAAUAUUUUUUGUUUUUGUGACCUGUGAUUCUUUUUUUUAUUUCAUUUUAAUUUUUUUAUUUAGGAGCAACUUUGCGACCUAGAGAAAUGUUAAACAUUCUACUACCUCAUAGUUUUCAUUGUGCCCCUACAUUUCUUUGUGUGCCCCUACAUUUUCCAACUGAAGGGGCACACGUGCUCCUUGUAAAAAAACAAAAACAAGAAGAAACCAAAAAAGACCCACUUUAUUACAGAAUCCUGUGUUAAUGAAAACAAAUCGUAUUUUAGGCUAAAAGAGGGCGACACCAUAGAGAAUGAUAGAGCACUCUUCUUUGUAUCCGUCCCAUUAUGGUGUCUGUUAGAGCACAGGCAGGGCCAUUGAGGUCAACUCCAUUUUGAAGUAGUCACUUUUUGUUCUUCUACUAUUUCUAUGAGUUAAGUAAACAAACUGAAAAUGUGCGUACUGCCCCCUGGAGGGUGUUGUCUGAACAGGUAUAAAGACAAGGUUGGUGAUUUACUGCCCCCUGGAGGGUGUUGUCUGAACAGGUUUAAAGGAUGGUGAUUUACUGCCCCCUGGAGGGUGUUGUCUGAACAGGUUUAAAGGAUGGUGAUUUACUGCCCCCUGGAGGGUGUUGUCUGAACAGGUAUAAAGGUUGGUGAUUUACUGCCCCCUGGCGUUAUGGAAUGUUUCCUCACGACUUUAAUUCAUUGGCUGAUCCUUCCUGGUGUGACCUGGAUGGAAUCAUGUGAUCCUUCCUUAACCCAUAGGAAGUCCCACCCAGUUGACUACUUCAAAAUGGUGUAAGUCCUCAACAGCGCUGCCCCAUGCUCGAACUUCCUUUAAGGAAAUGGAGUCCUCAUUUUGUCUUUAUGGACAAACACAUGUUGGUUUGAGAGACGUUCUUCUGCCCCAGUGGUUCUAAACUAACUACAACUCAUAGACCUUGUUUAACAGGUUUUAUUCUGAACAGGAAAUCCUUUUAACUGGUUUUAUUCUGAACAGGAAAUCCUUUAACAGGUUUUAUUCUGAACAGGAAAUCCUUUAACAGGUUUUAUUCUGAACAGGAAAUCCUUUAACAGGUUUUAUUCUGAACAGGAAAUCCUUUAACAGGUUUUAUUCUAAACAGGAAAUCCUUUUAACUGGUUUUAUUCUGAACAGGAAAUCCUUUUAACUGGUUUUAUUCUGAACAGGAAAUCCUUUAACAGGUUUUAUUCUAAACAGGAAAUCCUUUUUGUUUUUGAAGUGC
rnacentral:lncRNA from 1 species